rnacentral:rRNA from 1 species
UGGGGAAUUUUGGACAAUGGGCGCAAGCCUGAUCCAGCCAUGCCGCGUGCAGGAUGAAGGCCUUCGGGUUGUAAACUGCUUUUGUACAGAACGAAAAGACUCUGGUUAAUACCUGGGGUCCAUGACGGUACCGUAAGAAUAAGCACCGGCUAACUACGUGCCAGCAGCCGCGGUAAUACGUAGGGUGCGAGCGUUAAUCGGAAUUACUGGGCGUAAAGCGUGCGCAGGCGGUUAUGUAAGACGGAUGUGAAAUCCCCGGGCUCGACCUGGGAACUGCAUUUGUGACUGCAUAGCUAGAGUACGGCAGAGGGGGAUGGAAUUCCGCGUGUAGCAGUGAAAUGCGUAGAUAUGCGGAGGAACACCGAUGGCGAAGGCAAUCCCCUGGGCCUGUACUGACGCUCAUGCACGAAAGCGUGGGGAGCAAACA